rnacentral:misc_RNA from 1 species
AAGUCGUAACAAGGUUUCCGUAGGUGAACCUGCGGAAGGAUCAUUAAUGAAAUACAAGGACGCUCUUUUUGAGAGGUCCCGAAAUAUUACAUUUCCUUCUACCCCUGUGCACAAACUGUUUUUCACACCUUUUUAAAACACAUAAGUUAAGAAUGUAACAGUCUCUUAAAUUGAGCAUAAAUUAUUAAAA